GAGAGAGAGAGAGGUGUAGAGAGAGAGAGAGGUGUAGAGAGAGAGAGGUGUAGAGAGAGAGAGAGGUGUAGAGAGAGAGGUGUAGAGAGAGAGAGAGGUGUAGAGAGAGAGAGAGGUGUAGAGAGAGAGGGGUGUAGAGAGAGAGAGAGGUGUAGAGAGAGAGAGAGGUGUAGAGAGAGAGAGGUGUAGAGAGAGAGAGAGGUGUAGAGAGAGAGAGGUGUAGAGAGAGAGAGAGGUGUAGAGAGAGAGAGAGGUGUAGAGAGAGAGAGAGGUGUAGAGAGAGAGAGGUGUAGAGAGAGAGAGGUGUAGAGAGAGAGAGAGGUGUAGAGAGAGAGAGGUGUAGAGAGAGAGAGAGAUCGACAAAGACAGAUAAGUGAGAUGAACCAAAUAAAGCGGGGAACGAGAGACGAGGGAGAGAGUUGAAGAGAGGGAGAGAUACGAAGAGAGAAAGAAACAUUGUUGUUAUCUCUCUGCCAGUCCCCUUGCUCUCAGCGAUGUCCAGGUUCAAUCUUAUUGGACAAACCCCUAGCACCUACUA